AUGGCGGGGCACACCCGCGCCGCGUCUCUCUCCCGGCUGCUUCCCCUUCUCCUGGGCUUCCUGCUCCUCUCCGCUCCGCAUGGCGGCAACGGCCUGCACACUAAGGGCGCCCUUCCCCUGGAUACGGUCACUUUCUACAAGAUUAUGGUGACAAACUGAACAUGGAACUGAGUGAGAAAUACAAGCUGGACAAAGAGAGCUACCCAGUCUUCUACCUCUUCCGGGAUGGGGACUUUGAGAACCCAGUCCCAUACACUGUGGCAGUUAAGGUUGGAGCCAUCCAGCGCUGGCUGAAGGGGCAAGGGGUCUACCUAGGUAUGCCUGGUUGCCUGCCUGUAUACGACGCUCUGGCUGGGGAGUUCAUCAGGGCCUCUGGUGUGGAGGCCUGCCAGGCCCUCUUGAAGCGGGGGCAGGACAACCUCUCAAGUGUGAAGGAGACUGAGCAGAAGUGGGCCGAGCAAUACCUGAAAAUCAUGGGGAAGAUCUUAGACCAAGGGGAGGACUUCCCAGCAUCAGAGAUGACACGGAUUGCCAGGCUGAUUGAGAAGAACAAGAUGAGUGAUGGGAAGAAGGAGGAGCUCCAGAAGAGCUUAAACAUCCUGACUGCCUUCCAGAAGAAGGGGGCCGAGAAAGAGGAGCUUUAAAAGGCUGUCUGUGGUUUUCCAGGGUUUGGUGGGGGUAGGGAGGGGAGAGUUAACCUGCUGGCUGUGAGUCCCUUGUGGAAUAUAAGGGGGUAGUGGGAAAAGUGGUACUAACCCACGAUUCCGAGCCCUGAGUAUGCCUGGACAUUGAUGCUGAUGUGACCAUGCUUGGGAUGUCUCUAGCUGGUCUGGGGAUAGCUGGAGCACUUACUCAGGUGGCUGGUGAAAUGACCCCUCAGAAGGAAUUAGUGCUAUAGAGGAGAGAGGAGUGUACCGCCCAGGUCUUUGACAGGUGUAAUUCUCAUUCAAUUAAAGUUUCAGUGUUUUGGUUAAGUGGA